AGGAAACCCAAAAGAGGUAACUUCAUAUCAAAAUGAUUUUUUUGAGAAAAAAAAAUAAUAUCCAAAUGAUUUCUUUUCUUUGAAAUUUCGUUUGCUAUAUCUGCAUUGAAUGUCAUACUGCAGAGCAGAGAACAUGGUGCUUAACAUUUCUUUUCUUCAAAUCCUCUUGAUUAUUGUAGUCUGCCCGUCGAUUUGUUACACAAAUCUUAGUCUUUCCCCUUUUGAAUGUGCUAAACCCACUACUGUAUAAUAAGGAAUGGAAAAGGACAUGUUUUAAUUACAAUUUUCAUGACAGCUG
rnacentral:misc_RNA from 1 species